AAUCUCAGUCAAAAUUUGAAGCUUGAUCCUAGUCAAUUCAGAUUCAGUCCAUGUUUGUUGAAAUUAAGCAUGUUGAUAUUACAUCAGUUUAUAAAUAGAUUUCUCUAAGAAGUUACAAGAAAAGGCCACUGCAGAGGCUGAGGCUGAGAAAGCGUAAUGAGCUUAAUAUCUGUUAGUAAACAUGUAUCCAUACAGAGCAGUAUUUGUAGUUAUUCAUGAAUUCAGAAAUAGUCUGACAGACACUGAGACAGUAGAGAGUUCAUUCUGUUUCUGUCAUUCUCUGCCUUGAAGAAUCAUCCACGCGUAACAUUGUCAA